UGAAUACGAGACGCUAAGGCGUCGAAGUAGUGUAUGUCAUACUUCCAAGAAAAGCUUGCACUGUCAUAGAUAAAAAACGCCUGUACCAUAACCGACACAGGUGGGUAGGUAGAGUAUACUAAGGGGCGCGAGAUAACUCUCUCUAAGGAACUCGGCAAAAUAACUCCGUAACUUCGGGAGAAGGAGUGCCUUAUUCGUAAGGUUGCAAUAACAAGAUCCAAGCAACUGUUUAUCAAAAACACAGGUCUCCGCUAAGUCGUAAGACGAUGUAUGGGGGCUGACGCCUGCCCAGUGCCAGAAGGUUAAAGAAGUUGGUUAGCAAUUGCGAAGCUGAUAACUGAAGCCCUGGUGAACGGCGGCCGUAACUAUAACGGUCCUAAGGUAGCGAAAUUCCUUGUCGGGUAAGUUCCGACCCGCACGAAAGGCGUAAUGAUUUGGAUACUGUCUCGGAGAGGGGCUCGUGAAAUAGACUUGUCUGUGAAGAUGCGGACUACCUGCACCAGGACAGAAAGACCCUAUGAAGCUUUACUGUAACUUGAAAUUGAAAUUGGACUUUAUUCGCGCAGUAUAGGUGGGAGGCGUUGAUUAUAAUCUUGUGGGAUUAUUGGAGCCAUCAGUGAGAUACCACUCUUGUAAUGUUAGAUUUCUAACUUUGAAUCAUUAUCUGGUCAAAGAACAGUUUCAGGCGGGCAGUUUGACUGGGGCGGUCGCCUCCUAAACGGUAACGGAGGCGUACAAAGGUUUCCUCUGAACGGUUAGAAAUCGUAUCUAGAGUGUAAAGGCAUAAGGAAGCUUGACUGUGAGACCUACAAGUCGAGCAGGGACGAAAGUCGGUCUUAGUGAUCUGACGGUACUGAGUGGAAAGGCCGUCACUCAACGGAUAAAAGUUACUCUAGGAUAACAGGCUGAUCUCCCCCAAGAGUUCACAUCGACGGGGAGGUUUGGCACCUCGAUGUCGGCUCAUCGCAUCCUGGGGCGGUAGUACGUCCCAAGGGUUGGGCUGUUCGCCCAUGAAAGCGGUACGCGAGCUGGGUUCAGAACGUCGUGAGACAGUUCGGUCCAUAUCCGGUGUAGGCGUUAGAAUAUUGAGAGGAGCCUUCUUUAGUACGAGAGGACCGAGAAGGACAUACCUCUGGUGUACCAGUUAUCGUGCCAACGGUAAACGCUGGGUAGCUAUGUAUGGAGUGGAUAACCGCUGAAAGCAUCUAAGUGGGAAGCCCACCUCAAGAUAAGUAUUCUCAC
rnacentral:rRNA from 1 species